CCCAGGGGACGACCCCGGCGAUCGGUGGGCCGCGUUCCGGGACGGCCCGG
rfam:Pseudomonas oryzihabitans strain TSDA-ARS-TSMARC-56511, complete genome.